rnacentral:rRNA from 1 species
AGCAGCCGCGGUAAUUCCAGCUCCAAUAGCGUAUAUUAAAGUUGUUGCAGUUAAAAAGCUCGUAGUUGAAUUUCGGGAUCAGUUGAUCGGUCGUGCCUCGGUACGUACUGGUCAAAUUGAUUCCUACCUUCUGACGAACCACGAUGUCAUUAAUUUGGUGUCGUGGGAAAUCAGGACUGUUACUUUGAAAAAAUUAGAGUGUUUAAAGCAGGCUCGCGCUUGAAUACAUUAGCAUGGAAUAAUGAAAUAGGACGUUUGAUUCUAUUUUGUUGGUUUCUAGGAUCGACGUAAUGAUUAAUAGGGAUAGUUGGGGGCAUUAGUAUUCAAUUGUCAGAGGUGAAAUUCUUGGAUUUAUUGAAGACUAACUACUGCGAAAGCAUUUGCCAAGGAUGUUUUCAUUAAUCAAGAACGAAAGUUAGGGGAUCGAAGACGAUCAGAUACCGUCGUAGUCUUAACCAUAAACUAUGCCGACUAGGGAUCGGAUGAUGUUAAUUUUUAAUGACUCAUUCGGCGC